GACGAACGUUGGCGGCACGCCUAACACAUGCAAGUCGAACGGACUUACAAGAGCUUGCUUUUUUAAGUUAGUGGCGGACGGGUGAGUAACACGUGAGCAACCUGCCUCUGAGAGGGGGAUAGCUUCUGGAAACGGAUGGUAAUACCCCAUAAAAUAUAAAUAUCGCAUGAUAGAUAUAUCAAAGAAAUUCGCUCAGAGAUGGGCUCGCGUCUGAUUAGAUAGUUGGUGAGGUAACGGCUCACCAAGUCGACGAUCAGUAGCCGGACUGAGAGGUUGAACGGCCACAUUGGAACUGAGACACGGCCCAGACUCCUACGGGAGGCAGCAGUGGGGAAUAUUGCACAAUGGAGGGAACUCUGAUGCAGCGAUGCCGCGUGGAGGAAGAAGGUUUUCGGAUUGUAAACUCCUUUUAUCAGGGACGAUAAUGACGGUACCUGAAGAAAAAGCUCCGGCUAACUACGUG
rnacentral:rRNA from 1 species